rnacentral:tRNA from 1 species
GAAAUAUUAAAAAAAAUAAGCUUCUAACUUAAUUUUAAAGCAUUAGUGUUUAUAUUUCU